UUCCGUAGGUGAACCUGCGGAAGGAUCAUUACAGAAUGAAAAGUGCUUAACUGCAUUUUUUCUUACACAUGUGUUUUUCUUUUUUUGAAAACUUUGCUUUGGUAGGCCUUCUAUAUGGGGCCUGCCAGAGAUUAAACUCAACCAAAUUUUAUUUAAUGUCAACCGAUUAUUUAAUAGUCAAAACUUUCAACAACGGAUCUCUUGGUUCUCGCAUCGAUGAAGAACGCAGCGAAAUGCGAUAAGUAAUAUGAAUUGCAGAUAUUCGUGAAUCAUCGAAUCUUUGAACGCACAUUGCGCCCUUUGGUAUUCCAAAGGGCAUGCCUGUUUGAGCGUCAUUUCUCCCUCAAACCCUCGGGUUUGGUGUUGAGCGAUACGCUGGGUUUGCUUGAAAGAAAGGCGGAGUAUAAACUAAUGGAUAGGUUUUUUCCACUCAUUGGUACAAACUCCAAAACUUCUUCCAAAUUCGACCUCAAAUCAGGUAGGACUACCCGCUGAACUUAAGCAUAUCAAUAAGC
rnacentral:rRNA from 1 species